CUUGGUGUAAUUGGUAGCAUGUCGGUCUCCAAAACCGUUGGUGAGGGUUCGAGUCCUUCAGUU
rnacentral:tRNA from 1 species